CUGUCCUUAGUACGAGAGGACCGGGAUGGACGUACCUCUGGUGUACCAGUUGUUCUGCCAAGGGCAUGGCUGGGUAGCUAUGUACGGAAUGGAUAAGCGCUGAAAGCAUCUAAGCGCGAAGCCAACUUCAAGAUAAGAUUUCCCACCGCAAGGGUAAGAUCCCAGAAAGACUAUCUGGUUGAUAGGUCGAAGGUGUAAGUGCAGCAAUGUAUUUAGCUUAUCGAUACUAAUAGGUCGAGGACUUGACCAA
rnacentral:rRNA from 1 species